CCUACGGGGGGCUGCAGUGGGGAAUAUUGGACAAUGGGCGAAAGCCUGAUCCAGCCAUGCCGCUUGUGUGAAGAAGGCCUUCGGGUUGUAAAGCACUUUCAGUGGGGAAGAAAGCCUUGGGGCUAAUACCCUCGAGGAAGGACAUCACCCACAGAAGAAGCACCGGCUAACUCCGUGCCAGCAGCCGCGGUAAUACGGAGGGUGCGAGCGUUAAUCGGAAUUACUGGGCGUAAAGCGCGCGUAGGCGGUCUGAUAAGCCGGUUGUGAAAGCCCCGGGCUCAACCUGGGAACGGCAUCCGGAACUGUCAGGCUAGAGUGCAGGAGAGGAAGGUAGAAUUCCCGGUGUAGCGGUGAAAUGCGUAGAGAUCGGGAGGAAUACCAGUGGCGAAGGCGGCCUUCUGGACUGACACUGACGCUGAGGUGCGAAAGCGUGGGUAGCAAACAGGAUUAGAUACCCCGGUAGUC
rnacentral:rRNA from 1 species